AACCUGGCGGCAUGCCUACCAUGCNAGUCGCACGAGACCUUCGGGUCUAGUGGCGCACGGGUGCGUAACGCGUGGGAAUCUGCCCUUAGGUUCGGAAUAACUCAGAGAAAUUUGAGCUAAUACCGGAUGAUGACGUAAGUCCAAAGAUUUAUCGCCUAGGGAUGAGCCCGCGUAGGAUUAGCUAGUUGGUGAGGUAAAGGCUCACCAAGGCGACGAUCCUUAGCUGGUCUGAGAGGAUGAUCAGCCACACUGGGACUGAGACACGGCCCAGACUCCUACGGGAGGCAGCAGUGGGGAAUAUUGGACAAUGGGCGAAAGCCUGAUCCAGCAAUGCCGCGUGAGUGAUGAAGGCCCUAGGGUUGUAAAGCUCUUUUACCCGGGAUGAUAAUGACAGUACCGGGAGAAUAAGCCCCGGCUAACUCCGUGCCAGCAGCCGCGGUAAU
rnacentral:rRNA from 1 species